ACAGAUUCCAUAGAAGAAUUAUAUUUAAUUGACACAGAUGGCGUUGAUGAAUUGAAACAAAAUUUGGAAUAUAAAGGAUCAUCAGUCAGAAUCCAAGAAAAUUUUGAUAAAAGAGACCAAGAACAGCGUUCCCAUGAAAAUCUCCUGGAAAUAUCUGCAAGACGUGUACUCGUAUCCACAAAUCAAAAUAUAAAAGAUAGUAUUUCCUUGGGACAAUAUGAA